rnacentral:rRNA from 1 species
UACGUAGGGGGCAAGCGUUGUCCGGACUUACUGGGCGUAAAGCGUGUGCAGGCGGGGGGCUAUGUGCCGUGUGAAAGCUCUCAGCUUAUCUGGGAGAGGUCGCGGUAGACAGGCUGCCUGGAGGCUCGGAGAGGUCAGUGGAAUUCUCGGUGUAGUGGUGAAAUGCGUAGAUAUCGAGAGGAACACCGGUGGCGAAGGCGGCCAACUGGACGAAUACUGACGCUGAGACUCGAAAGCGUGGGGAGCAAACAGG